GAGCGGGAUAGGGAAGAGGCCGAACCCGGCAGACUGUAAAUCUGCCGCUCCCAAGGGAGCCGCGCUGGUUCGAAUCCAGCUCCCCUCACCA
rnacentral:tRNA from 1 species